CGCCCAUACCGAACCCGGUGAUGCUAAGCGCCCUUAACCCGCACCGUCUCCUUCGGGAGACAUCGCGGGAGCGCGCGCGACCCGAACCGGUACUAGGUAAGCGUAUUAACA
rnacentral:rRNA from 1 species